rnacentral:tRNA from 1 species
AUUUAGAUGAUCAAAAACGAAUUCUUCCACGACAUAGAACUGAUUUAUCGAUCAAAAAUCAACGUCAAUUA